UCUCCUGGAAAACGGGUGGUAAUGCCGGAUGCUCCAGUUGAUCGCAUGGUCUUCUGGGAAAGCUUUCGCGGUAUGGGAUGGGGUCGCGUCCUAUCAGCUUGACGGCGGGGUAACGGCCCACCGUGGCUUCGACGGGUAGCCGGCCUGAGAGGGCGACCGGCCACAUUGGGACUGAGAUACGGCCCAGACUCCUACGGGAGGCAGCAGUGGGGAAUAUUGCACAAUGGGCGCAAGCCUGAUGCAGCGACGCCGCGUGAGGGAUGGAGGCCUUCGGGUUGUAAACCUCUUUUAUCGGGGAGCAAGCGAGAGUGAGUUUACCCGUUGAAUAAGCACCGGCUAACUACGUGCCAGCAGCCGCGGUAAUACGUAGGGUGCAAGCGUUAUCCGGAAUUAUUGGGCGUAAAGGGCUCGUAGGCGGUUCGUCGCGUCCGGUGUGAAAGUCCAUCGCUUAACGGUGGAUCCGCGCCGGGUACGGGCGGGCUUGAGUGCGGUAGGGGAGACUGGAAUUCCCGGUGUAACGGUGGAAUGUGUAGAUAUCGGGAAGAACACC
rnacentral:rRNA from 2 species